CCAGACUCCUACGGGAGGCAGCAGUGAGGAAUAUUGGUCAAUGGCCGAGAGGCUGAACCAGCCAAGUCGCGUGAGGGAAGACGGCCCUACGGGUUGUAAACCUCUUUUGUCGGGGAGCAAAGAGAGUCACGUGUGACUCAUUGAGAGUACCCGAAGAAAAAGCAUCGGCUAACUCCGUGCCAGCAGCCGCGGUAAUACGGAGGAUGCGAGCGUUAUCCGGAUUUAUUGGGUUUAAAGGGUGCGCAGGCGGAGGUGCAAGUCAGCGGUCAAAUUGCGGGGCUCAACCCCGUACUGCCGUUGAAACUGGCUGCCUUGAGAUGUCGAGAGGUAUGCGGAAUGCGCAGUGUAGCGGUGAAAUGCUUAGAUAUUGCGCAGAACUCCGAUUGCGAAGGCAGCAUACCGGCGGCGAUCUGACGCUGAGGCACGAAAGCGUGGGUAUCGAACAGGAUUAGAUACCCCAGUAGG
rnacentral:rRNA from 1 species